GUUUAGUAUAUGGACGUGAGAAAGUUAAGUAGUACUACAUUGUUCCACUAUACUACUUAUACUGGAGUUUUCCUCAGGUUUUUUUAUCAGGUCACUGGAGCAUAGAAGCAGGAGUAUGGAGUUCAUCAGGUCAGCUGAUUUGUGUUUUCUAUUAAAAGACAGUUUAAUUCAGUUGUUAUCAUGCCGCCAGAGACCAGGGGCCUCAUGUAUAAACAGUGCGUACGCACAGAAAUGUUGCGUAAGAACGUUUCCAUGUUCAAAUCUCGAUGUAUAAAACCUAAACUUGGCAUAAAGCCAUGCACAUUUCCACGGUAGCUCAUACCCUGGCAUACGCAAGUUCUCCGCUCAGUUUUGCAGACUGGCGGCACCCAGCGUCAAAGCAGUGCUACUGUCCCUGUGUGGUUACCCUUUCUUUUUCAGAUCCACAUCCCUGACGCGGCUUUAUAACUACACUGAAAUUAACCGCAUAUUGUUUAUUAGUUUAAUGCAUCUGAUUGUAAUUAACCAGUAACAAUAUAAUGGUCCACAGAAUGGUCAAACUAUUCCAAAUACCAUAACUGCUUUAGCAUUGUUACUCUCACUGCACCUUCUUCUUCUUCUUUCAGCUGCUCCCGUUAGAGGUUGCCGCAGUGGAUCAUCUUUUUCCAUAUUACUCUCACUGCACCACUCGGAGCAGCUAAUUGGAAAGAGGAUUAUCGGUAUACAGCAUCAAGCACAUGCUGCCUCAGCCAUGCUUCCUAAUUUGAACUGCUUCUCACACAGCAAACGCUUCAAAACCUUUCCUGUACGGACCUCGUGGUUCAGAAAGAGUUUCAUCCCAACAGCUCUAAACGCAAUCAAUCAGUUCAUCAAGUGCUCCUUACAGAACUGUUUGUACUUAUAAGUACAAUUACCUCACUGUAAACUUGUGAUACGGUUAUAAUAUUGCACAACCUGAGCCACUUUAUAAAGCGUGUAUUUACAUAUGAUGACAAUAUCAUUUUUAAGAUGACAUGCAGCAAAAUAUGUUUAUUAUGUUAUACAGAUAAAACUUUAACUUCAUUUAAAUAAUCUAUAUUGUUAAUAAUUAAAGGACACGGUGUUGCUACGGUAGCACGGACUGU